AUUGAACGCUGGCGGCGUGCUUAACACAUGCAAGUCGAACGGAGUGGCGAACGGGUGAGUAACACGUGGGUGACCAGCCCUGCACUUCGGGCUAAGCCUGGGAAACUGGGUCUAAUACCGGAUAGUGUGGGAUGGUCCCGCGGCCUAUCAGCUUCUUGGGGGGGUAAUGGCCUACCAAGGCGGCGACGGGUAGCCGGCCUGAGGGGGUGGACGGACACAGUGGGACUGCGAGACGGCCCAGACUCCUACGUGAGGCAGCAGUGGGGAAUAUUGCCCAAGGGGCGGACGACUGUGGCAGCGACUCUGCGUGGGGGAUGACGUGCUUCGGGUUGUAAACUCCUUUCACCAUCGACGCGGUAGAUGGAGAAGAAGCACCGGCUAACUACGUGCCAGCAGCCGCGGUAAUAC
rnacentral:rRNA from 1 species